rnacentral:rRNA from 1 species
UACGUAGGGUGCGAGCGUUAAUCGGAAUUACUGGGCGUAAAGGGAGCGUAGGCGGACAUUUAAGUCAGGGGUGAAAUCCCAGAGCUCAACUCUGGAACUGCCUUUGAUACUGGAUGUCUUGAGUGUGAGAGAGGUGAGUGGAACUCCGAGUGUAGAGGUGAAAUUCGUAGAUAUUCGGGAGAACACCAGUGGCGAAGGCGACUCACUGGCUCAUUACUGACGCUGAGGCUCGAAAGCGUGGAGAGCAAACAGG